AUGGCGCCACCUCCUGGGAGGAGGCCCACCUGGACCUCCCGCUCAGAGGAGGAGCACGGUGUGUAUGGCAUGACGCAGGGCCCACCCCGCACGCUCCCUGAGGAUGUGCUGGCUGUACCCCUUUCUUCCACUGGCACAUUUGGAAGUACGCUGCUGGUGGCCGCCAUGGCUCUGAUUCUCCUCCACCCGCUCUCACAUGAGGCAAAGUGGACGUGGGAAAAGACCUUCACUGCGGUGUGGCCUUUCCCAGACCUCUCCUAUCGAAGGCCACAAAACCAGCCCAGGCCCGGCAGAGCCACCUUUGGCCCUUGUAGCUCCUGCUGGCCCCACAAUGGGGAAGCAGUUUGCAAAGUGGCUCGGAAGGAGUGUGGCCUAGGAAUCUGCUACAAGUGGCCAGGUGUAGCAGGAGAGCCCAGCGUCACCUCCUGGUCCUGGUCAGCCUUAACACUGUGGCAUCCUCCGCAGCACACACAGCGGCCUGCAGUCUGGAAAGCGGACCCAAGCCUUUGCAGAGAGGCGCCAUGGAGCCGCAGGCCCGCACAGCAGCCCCAGCCUCCCACUCCUGACUGUGAGGACAUCGGUUCUAGGAGAGCACUUUUUUUAAAGCUCCCAUUUUGUAACUACUUUGCAGUUGACUUGAGUACUCUGGUAACUUGCUGCGUGAAGUGAUCUCCAGCUGUGAGAACGUGCAGCUCCAGGCAGGUUUUCUUUCCAAGAGUUAAGUCUUCCCUUGAAGGCAGGGAAGCGGGAUGGAUACACAUGUGUCAUGCACAUAAAGUACCAGGCGCAGGAGCAGCCCAAACUCGAGGCUGACUAAACUGGAGGCUGAACACUGUGGAGGUCUGCAUGCAGCCUCCCUGGAGAGCAGGGAGGGGGCGCUCCCGCCCCUGGGCUUGAGGGUGCCGCACCCGUGGGCUUCCAGGCCUGCCCAAGUGGUGCCUUCAGGCCUUUGCCCCUGGCGGCCAUCCUUAGGCUGAAUUUGACCAGCAAUGAUAGACUCUUCUUAACCCUUUCAAGAAAAUUUUUUCAGUGGGACAGGAAGGAGAGUUAAACAUUUUUUUAAAGGUGGUAACAUCUGACCCAUGAAGGGUAUGGGUCUGUUUUACGCUAAAUAAAAGUUUUUCAAA